UACAGAGGUCCCAAGCGUUGUUCGGAUUCAUUGGGCGUAAAGGGUGCGUAGGCGGCGCGGUAAGUCGGGUGUGAAAUCUCGGGGCUUAACUCCGAACUGCAUUCGAUACUGCCGUGCUUGAGGACUGGAGAGGAGACUGGAAUUUACGGUGUAGCGGUGAAAUGCGUAGAUAUCGUAAGGAAGACCAGUGGCGAAGGCGGGUCUCUGGACAGUUCCUGACGCUGAGGCACGAAGGCCAGGGGAGCAAACGGG
rnacentral:rRNA from 1 species